rnacentral:rRNA from 1 species
UACGAAGGGGGCUAGCGUUGUUCGGAAUUACUGGGCGUAAAGGGCUCGUAGGCGGCCAACUAAGUCGGACGUGAAAUCCCUCAGCUUAACUGGGGAACUGCGUCCGAUACUGGAUGGCUUGGAUUCGGGAGAGGGAUGCGGAAUUCCAGGUGUAGCGGUGAAAUGCGUAGAUAUCUGGAGGAACACCGGUGGCGAAGGCGGCAUCCUGGACCGAUAUUGACGCUGAGGAGCGAAAGCCAGGGGAGCAAACGGG